UACGGGGGGGGCAAGCGUUGUUCGGAAUUACUGGGCGUAAAGGGCUCGUAGGCGGCCAACUAAGUCGGAUGUGAAAUCCCCAGGCUUAACCUGGGAACUGCAUCCGAUACUGGAUGGCUUGAAUCCGGGAGAGGGAUGCAGAAUUCCAGGUGUAGCGGUGAAAUGCGUAGAUAUCUGGAGGAAUACCGGUGGCGAAGGCGGCAUCCUGGACCGGCAUUGACGCUGAUGAGCGAAAGCAUGGGGAGCAAACAGG
rnacentral:rRNA from 1 species